UACGAAGGGGGCUAGCGUUGUUCGGAAUGACUGGGCGUAAAGGGCGCGUAGGCGGCGAUGUAAGUCAGGCGUGAAAGCCCCGGGCUCAACCUGGGAACGGCGCUUGAUACUGCGUUGCUUGAGGACGGGAGAGGAUGGUGGAAUUCCCAGUGUAGAGGUGAAAUCGUAGAUAUUGGGAAGAACACCGGUGGCGAAGGCGGCCAUCUGGACCGUUUCUGACGCUGAGGCUGCGAAAGCGUGGGGAGCAAACAGG
rnacentral:rRNA from 1 species